rnacentral:rRNA from 1 species
AUUGAACGCUGGCGGCAGGCCUAACAAAUGCAAGUCGAACGGAGUGGCGGACGGGUGAGUAAUGUCUGGGCAUCUGCAUGGUAGUGGGGGAUAACGUACGGAAACGGGCGCUAAUACCGCAUACUAUCAGAUGAGCCUAUGUCGGAUUAGCUAGUGGGGGGGGUAAAGGCCUACCAAGGCGACGAUCCGUAACUGGUCUGAGAGGAUGAUCAGUAACACUGGAACUGAGACACGUGCCAGACUCCUACGGGAGGCAGCAGUGGGGAAUAUUGGACAAUGGUCGAAAGCCGGAUCCAGCCAUGCCGCGUGUGUGAAGAAGGUCUUCGGAUUGUAAAGCACUUGAAGUUGGGAGGCGUUACCAACAGAAUAAGCACCGGCUAACUUCGUGCCAGCAGCCGCGGUAAUAC